GGGGGCAGGCUCUCGGAUGACCAGUCUGCAGGAGGAGACACCAGUCCCUGGUCUUUUCCCUGUUGGUGGCGAUGUCACGGCUCACGUGGAUGACAUCAUACGUGCGCAUGGACGGGUCCACGAGGAAUGAUGAGUCAGAGAGAAGACGCCAUUGGUCCAGAGACACUGGGACACAAACAGAGGCGUAGUAUUACUAAUAUUGACAGUAGUAUUGUAAAUAGGAGUAGCAGUACUUUACUUUAUGUAUUCAGUCAGUAGUAGUGGUAGUAGUACUAGCAGUAGUACCGUUGGUUGUUGGCAGGCUGAACUGAGGACAAAGAGCCGGAGAAGAACUCCACUGAUUGACUGGAAACACAAACAGAACUCAUUAAACACGUGAGUGUGUGCGUGUGUGAGUGUGUGUGUGUGCGUGUGUGUGUACUUAUAUUAUAUUAUUAUAUAUCGUUACCGGGUUUCUGGUACCAGCCGAAGGGGUCCGGUGAGGUCUUCACCACAGAGGGGGAGCAGUCCUGAGUCCUCCAGGUCGUCAUGGCGACCUCGCUGCAGGCGUGUGGUUUCUCUCAGGCUCACUCGGCUGCGUAUCGAGUAGGAGACCAUCUUCUGGAAGGAAACUCUCUCGUAGAAGCUUCUGACCGGUCCAGAGAGAUCCACUGGACACACACACACACACACACACGCACACACACACACACGCACACGCACGCACACAAGUUAAAAAGAGGAGAAGAAGACUCUUCGGGCUCCUGGUGUGUCCUCGGUUCCUUUCCUCAAGGACACAUCCGAGCCUCCUGUCUCCUCGGGACUUGUUUGAAGGAGUCUAGGAGGGAGGAGGCGGGCCUACCCCUCUUGGCGUGGGCGUUGCGGGGGGCUCUGCCCAGCAGGGGCCGGCAGGGCCUCCUCAGCGGCUCGUGGUACGCUCCACACUGGCUGCCGUCGGCGUGCAGCGAGCAGGCGAAGAACCCCGGCGAGUCGGCGUCCCCGAGGUCGACCACGGAGCAGCGAGGCUCGCCGUCGCAUCCUGAGGAGAAAACAUGA
ensembl:lncRNA